rnacentral:rRNA from 1 species
GAUGAACGCUAGCUACAGGCUUAACACAUGCAAGUCGAGGGGUAACGAGAGGAAAGCUUGCUUUCCUUGUCGACGACCGGCGCACGGGUGAGUAACGCGUAUCCAACCUGCCCCCAACUAAGGAAUAACCUUGCGAAAGUAAGACUAAUACCUUCUAAUUUCCUCAGAUGUCAUCUGACGAGGAAUAAAGAUUUAUCGGUUGUGGAUGGGGAUGCGUCUGAUUAGCUUGUUGGCGGGGUAACGGCCCAACAAGGCAACGAUCAGUAGGGGUUCUGAGAGGAAGGUCCCCCACAUUGGAACUGAGACACGGUCCAAACUCCUACGGGAGGCAGCAGUGAGGAAUAUUGGUCAAUGGGCGAAAGCCUGAACCAGCCAAGUAGCGUGCAGGACGACGGCCCUAUGGGUUGUAAACUGCUUUUAUACAGGAAUAAAGUUAGCCACGUGUGGUUAUUUGUAGGUACUGUAUGAAUAAGGACCGGCUAAUUCCGUGCCAGCAGCCGCAGUAA